UCGGGUAGAUCCAAUUUUAGGGAUAUUCCCGCGUAAAUUGUUUCUGAAAAGCUGAGCUGACUCAAAUUUCAAUCUCACUUGACUGGAAGCAACUGUAAUCGCGCUCUCCAAGUCGAUCGGUCCAAUUCUUUGUUGACGCGGUUCCUAAUUCAGAUCGAAUGUUCAAGUCAUUAUCAAAUCGAAUCAGCUAUCUCUAUCUUGUAAUUCCUACUGCUAUCUCAUCGUUGUAAAGUUUCAUGGACAUGACAACUGCUUGGGAGCAAAAGAUUCAUCUUUCUGUGCGCACACACACAGGAACCAGAUUUUCAUUCCAACCAAUACGGCAAGAAUAGCAGUGGAAAUUCUCAACAUUCGAGCUAUGUGUCAACGGCAAGCCAACGCCAAGGGACAAACUCAUUGGGAAUGACUUUGGGCCAAGACCAUAACAAAAGCAAGAGCUAAUGAGAAAAGAUUUAACAUUCUUAAAUUGCAGAGGAUUAGUUAUCCCACGUUGGAAGAUUUAACAUUCUUAAAUUAAAUUGCAGAGGAUCUUCUAAACCAACUUCCU